UACGGGGGGGGUAAGCGUUGUUCGGAAUUACUGGGCGUAAAGGGCUCGUAGGCGGCCAACUAAGUCGGACGUGAAAUCCCUCAGCUUAACUGGGGAACUGCGUCCGAUACUGGAUGGCUUGGAUUUGGGAGAGGGAUGCGGAAUUCCAGGUGUAGCGGUGAAAUGCGUAGAUAUCUGGAGGAACACCGGUGGCGAAGGCGACAUCCUGGACCGGUAUUGACGCUGAGGCGCGAAAGCCAGGGGAGCAAACGGG
rnacentral:rRNA from 1 species